rnacentral:lncRNA from 1 species
ACUCCAAUAGCACAAGAAGAAUUCUGGAAGACAACAGCCUGGAUGACCUCCUUUCCUGCAAAGGAUGGAAAGUCUUAUUUCAAAGCUUCCAUUGACAAGAUGAUGGGUAUGUUGUGAGCUCCUGAUAAUGCCAGGGGUAAAGUAAACAUCUUUCCUUUUUUCUUUAACCUGAGAAAAGCCAAUAUUAGAAUGAGUGGUCUCAAAUUUUGAGGAUUUUGCUGAACUCAAUAUCCUCACCGCCAAAGAAGCAAGGUGAUAGCGAAGCCCACUCCUGUUAUCAAAGGAGUCUUUACCCUCUGCCCUCAAAUCGCACUGGCCUUCUUUGAGUUUAUUAGACAUGACCUACUGGCUCCCAUGAUGAAUUUUGGCCUAUGCUGUUCUCUCUGCUGCAGACACUGUUCUCAAGUUUCUCCCUCUGGCUUCCUCUUCGUAUCUUAGCCAGAUUACUUCCUUUCCUGAUUUGCCAACUAGAUCAACAGUUCACUUGUUCUGGAAUCACCAAGCUAAAUAAAAUACAGCCUGUGACAUGGAAGAGCUCACCAUUUGCUAAAAAAGACUGA